rnacentral:rRNA from 1 species
GACGAACGCUGGCGGCGUGCUUAACACAUGCAAGUCGAACGGAAAGGCCCAGCUUGCUGGGUGCUCGAGUGGCGAACGGGUGAGUAACACGUGGGUGAUCUGCCCCUAACUUCGGGAUAAGCUUGGGAAACUGGGUCUAAUACCGGAUAGGACAAUCGUUUAGUGUCGGUUGUGGAAAGUUUUUUCGGUUAGGGAUGAGCCCGCGGCCUAUCAGCUUGUUGGUGGGGUAAUGGCCUACCAAGGCGUCGACGGGUAGCCGGCCUGAGAGGGUGGCCGGCCACAUUGGGACUGAGAUACGGCCCAGACUCCUACGGGAGGCAGCAGUGGGGAAUAUUGCACAAUGGGCGGAAGCCUGAUGCAGCGACGCCGCGUGGGGGAUGACGGCCUUCGGGUUGUAAACCUCUUUCGACAGGGACGAAGCUUUGGUGACGGUACCUGUAUAAGAAGCACCGGCUAACUACGUG